rnacentral:lncRNA from 1 species
CUUUUUAUUUACUUUUUUUUCUUUCAGAAGGAAUACAAUAAGGACGAGAGUUUUCUUCCUUCUUUCUUUUCUUAUUUUUUUAAUGCCAAACCUUGAAACAUCACAGCUAUAUAAAUGCUUAUUAAACCCCUACACAACUCCAACAAGCUGUUUUAACCCUUUAAAUAAGGAGAUAAAUUUUUUUCACUUUAUGACUUGUAAUUAGUUUAAAUAAAGAAUGAUAUAAAUAGACUUAAUGGAAUUUCAAACAAUGGAUGAUAUCAUUCAUAGUUGCCUUUUUGGCUAAGUGGCUAAAAGUAAAACAAAAACAAGUUGUCUUUAUCAUAUCAGUGUGCACGAGUAAUCAACAGUUUUAAAAAGAGUCAAUUCAAGUUUUAGAGACUAACAGACAUGAAUGAAAUCACACAAGAAAGAAAGAAAUGGAUUUUUUUAUUGUUAUCCAUCAAAAGGCUCAAAAUAUCACAAGGUUAUUGAUCUACCACAAUUGAUGCACAAUUAAGCAUUUAGUCUUACUCAUCAUACUAAGAACAUAAAAAAAAUCAAUCACUUCACACCAUAAUUUUUUACUCAAUAGAACAGAGAAAAUACUCAUAAUUGUAACUCAAAAACCAAAGAAAAAGCAUGCAUUUAUUUUAUUUUUUUAUGUAAGAAAACAAACAAAAACAAAGAAAUUGAAUAAAACAAAGUAAAUGGCUCCUCAGAAGACAAAGUGGAAGCAAAAUUCUAUUUCUAAGCUUCAAUAAUAUAGCGUUAGUGAGCAACUAAUUGUGACAGUCAAAGCAGAUAAAAGGAUAGUUUACCAGGGAGUACAUCAUAAGCAAUAGAUCUUCGUAGAUAAAAUUCCCAACUCUCGAGUAUUAGGUUGAUUGUUUCAGCAAGCUGCACAAAAUUACAUGCACAAAAAGAUCAAAUGACUUUAUUGGUUGUAACUUGGUCAGGGUAGGUGAGAUAAUCUAGGGUACUAGGUAAAUUCAGGUCAAAAGAAAUGAAAUAGACGCGGAUGUUACUAAUAUAUUCCAUCACUUCAAACAACUUUUCAUUUUCUCUCUCUUUUCUUCUUUUUCUUAUUUACUUUUUUUCUUUCAGAGGAAUACAAUAAGGACGAGAGUUUCUUCCUUCUUUCUUUUAUUUUUUUAAUGCCAACCUUGAACAUCACAGCUAUAUAAAUGCUUAAUAACCCACAACACUCCACAGCAUGCUUUACCCUUUAAAUAAGGAGAUAAUUUUUUUCACUUAUGACUGUAUUAGUUUAAAUAAAGAAUGUAAAUAGACUUAAUGGAAUACAAGGAUGAUAUCAUCAUAGUUGCCUUUUUGGCUAAGUGGCUAAAGUAAACAAAAAACAAGUUGUCUUUAUCAUAUCGUGUGCACAGUAAUCAACAGUUUUAAAGAGUCAAUUCAAGUUUUUAGAGACUAACAGACAUGAAUAAACCACAAGAAGAAGAAAUGGAUUUUUAUUGUUAUCCAUCAAAAGCUCAAAUAUCACAAGGUUAUUAUCUACCCAAUUGAUGCACAAUUAAGCAUUUAGUCUUAUCAUAUACUAAGACAUAAAAAAAAUCAUCACUUCACACCAUAAUUUUUAUCAUAGACAGAGAAAUACUCAUAUUGUAUCAAAACCAAAGAAAAGCAUGCAUUAUUUUUUAUUUUUUUAUGUAAGAAAAACAACAAAGAAUGAAUAAACAAAGUAAAUGGUCCUCAGGAAAAGACAAAGUGGAAGCAAAUUCUAUUCUAAGCUCAAUAAUGCGUUGAGCAACUAAUUGGGACAGUCAAAGCAGAUAAAAGGAUAGUUUACAGGGAGUACAUCAUAAGCAAUUCUCGUAUGAGAUAAAUUCACUCAACUCUCGAGUUUUAGGUUGAUUGUUUACACUCAAGCACAACAUGAAAUUAACAUGCAAAAAGAUCAAUGCUUUAUUUGUUGUACUUGUCAGGUACGGGUGAGUAUCCUAAGGGUAUAGGCUGAAAUUCAAGGGUCAAAGAAUUGAAUAGACGCGGAUUGACUAAAUAUAUUCCAUUCACUUUCAACAACAACUUUUCCCAUUUUUCUCUUUUUCUUUUCUCUUUCUUUUUAUUUUACUUUUUUUCUUUAAAGGAUCAAUAGACGAGAGUUUUCUUCUUCUUUCUUUUCUUAUUUUUUUAAUGCCAAACCUUGAAACAUCACAGCUAUAUAAAUGCUUAUUCAACCCCCACACAACUCCAACAAGCUCUUUUAACCCUUUAAAUAAGGAGAUAAUUUUGUUUUCACUUUAUGACUUGUAAUGAGUUUAAAUAAAGAAUGAUAUAAAUAGACUCAAUGGAUUUUCAAACAAGGGAUGAUAUCAUUCAUAGUUUCCUUUUUGGCCAAGUGGCUAAAAGUAAAACAAAAACAAGUUGUCUUUAUCAUAUCAGUGUGCACAAGUAAUCAACAGUUUUAGAAAGAGUCAAUUCAAGUUUUAGAGACUAACAGACAUGAAUGAAAUCACACAAGAAAG